UGAAUACGAGACGCUACGGCGUCGAAGCAGUCUAUGUCAUACUUCCAAGAAAAGCUUGCACUGUCAUAAACAAAUAAUGCCUGUACCAUAACCGACACAGGUGGGUAGGUAGAGUAUACUAAGGGGCGCGAGAUAACUCUCUCUAAGGAACUCGGCAAAAUGACUCCGUAACUUCGGGAGAAGGAGUGCCUUAUUUAUAAGGUUGCAAUAACAAGAUCCAAGCAACUGUUUAUCAAAAACACAGGUCUCCGCUAAGUCGUAAGACGAUGUAUGGGGGCUGACGCCUGCCCAGUGCCAGAAGGUUAAAGAAGUUGGUUAGCAUUAGCGAAGCUGAUAACUGAAGCCCUGGUGAACGGCGGCCGUAACUAUAACGGUCCUAAGGUAGCGAAAUUCCUUGUCGGGUAAGUUCCGACCCGCACGAAAGGUGUAAUGAUUUGGAUACUGUCUCGGAGAGGGGCUCGGUGAAAUAGACUUGUCUGUGAAGAUGCGGACUACCUGCACCUGGACAGAAAGACCCUAUGAAGCUUUACUGUAACCUGAAAUUGAAAUUGGACUUUAUUUGCGCAGUAUAGGUGGGAGGCGUUGAGAAUAUUCUUGCGGGAAUAUUGGAGCCAUCAGUGAGAUACCACUCUUGUAAUGUUAGAUUUCUAACUUUGAAUCAUUAUCUGGUCAAAGAACAGUUUCAGGCGGGCAGUUUGACUGGGGCGGUCGCCUCCUAAAUGGUAACGGAGGCGCACAAAGGUUUCCUCUGAACGGGUAGAAAUCGUAUCUAGAGUGUAAAGGCAUAAGGAAGCUUGACUGUGAGACCUACAAGUCGAGCAGGGACGAAAGUCGGUCUUAGUGAUCUGACGGUGCUGAGUGGAAAGGCCGUCACUCAACGGAUAAAAGUUACUCUAAGGAUAACAGGCUGAUCUCCCCCAAGAGUUCACAUCGACGGGGAGGUUUGGCACCUCGAUGUCGGCUCAUCGCAUCCUGGGGCGGUAGUACGUCCCAAGGGUUGGGCUGUUCGCCCAUGAAAGCGGUACGCGAGCUGGGUUCAGAACGUCGUGAGACAGUUCGGUCCAUAUCCGGUGUAGGCGUUAGAAUAUUGAGAGGAGCCUUCUUUAGUACGAGAGGACCGAGAAGGACAUACCUCUGGUGUACCAGUUAUCGUGCCAACGGUAAACGCUGGGUAGCUAUGUAUGGAGAGGAUAACCGCUGAAAGCAUCUAAGUGGGAAGCCCACCUCAAGAUAAGUAUUCGC
rnacentral:rRNA from 1 species